UAUUGUUUCCUUCUAUGACUUUUUAUAUUUUUUUCUUCGGCUUCUUGUAAUCUACUUCUUCGACUUGAUAAAGUUUUAUGCUUCAGACCUUGAGAACUAGAAAGGGAGGGCAUAAAAGCUACUUUGGAAAGUACAAUCAUGGAAAAAGGGUAAAAUUGAUAAAAGAGAGGAGGAAACAAACAAUUCAUCGCAGGUGGCAGCUUUAAGUUCAUUAACUUUGGUUGACCAACUCGAAUAAAUAAAUGAGGUGAAGUUGCCCCAGUUUUAGGUAGCAAGCACAUACUACAAAGAGCGCGAUUGCAAGAAGUCUAUCUUCUUAAGACCUUGAUGCAUAUGGUUUCGAGGUGCAGUCAUGUGGUCCAGCAUUAGAAUCUCCUAAAGCGUCAGAUUUGGAAGAGCAGUGGAGGAGGUACGGGCCUCUUUUUUUAGCAAGAGCAUUUGGAGGUUGAAAGCGUCAACAAACUACCUUAUUGGGGCCCACUGUUGCUUUGACAUUCCAAUUUUUGUUUCUGUUAGUAAUAUAUCUUGAUGAACAAAUUGGUUAUUCUAUUCAACCUUACUCUAAGUGGAAAUAGAUAUUACAUAUUUUAGAGAUCAUAACAUUUUCUUUCCUCUUUUCCUUCCUGGUUCUUGUUACAGUUAGAUUUAAUUAUAAUUAUCCAAUUUUCGUCUCACUAUAAAUUAUUGUUGCGUGAGACAUGUGACAUACCAUUAGAUAAUUCUAUGUUACAUAUUUUCAAAUUAAAAGAGAGGGAGAGUAUAUUAAAAACAUAUACGGAAUAAUCCGAUUAAUAAGAAAUCUCGCAAAAAUAUUGUUGAAUAGGUGAAUCAAAGGGUCUUGAUAUUUUAGCCAAUAAUCAGACAAAUAAGGCAUCAAAACAUGUACUAGUCAUCCGUUUAACACCAAUUUCCCAAACGAUAGUUCAAGUAAAAGAAAGAGAGGGUGUAAAAUGUAUAAAGCUGAAAAUUGUAACAACAUGCAUCACGGCUUCUAGCAUAUUAGAUCAAGGGAAGAUACUGAAACUAUCUCAAAUGCCCAA